rnacentral:rRNA from 1 species
UACGUAGGGGGCAAGCGUUGUCCGGAUUUACUGGGCGUAAAGAGCGCGCAGGCGGUCGAUCAAGUCGAGUGUGAAAGCCCCCGGCUCAACUGGGGAGGGUCAUUCGAUACUGAUCGACUCGAAGGCAGGAGAGGGUAGUGGAAUUCCAGGUGUAGCGGUGAAAUGCGUAGAUAUCUGGAGGAACACCGGUGGCGAAGGCGGCAUCCUGGACCAAUAUUGACGCUGAGGAGCGAAAGCCAGGGGAGCAAACGGG